UAAAAAUAAAAUUAUGUUUAUUUUCAAUAAAACCACAUUUAGUUAUUUUAAGUUAUUUAUAGUUUUAGGUGGCAUGACUGUGUAAUUUUAGUUUGAAUGACAUUUGUAAAUAAUUAUUUGAUAGUUGUCAAAAACUCAUAGAGUAAGAAAUAGCAUGUUCUUGAUUCUCUUUUUAGAUGAAUUCAUACGGCUAUCUCUUACAAGAAUAAGAAGUAUGAAACUACUCUUAUAAAUCAAGAACUUAAGCUGAUCAAGCAAAAAUAGUGAUAAAAAUAGAUUUUCAAACCGUUAUUUGUACAAAUUAAGGAUGAAUAUUACGUCAAUGAAAAUUUGUAUUGCUAUAGAAGCAAGCAGUAGAUAUAGUAAGAAUAAUGUAUGUAAAUAUAAGUGGUUGCAGCCAACAGAGUCCCGUUUCUAUUAUGAAAUGCCUGCUGAAAAGCAACUUCAAGAUUAUCAUUCUGAACUAUUUCGUCUGAAAAAAGUAAAAAA
rnacentral:lncRNA from 1 species